rnacentral:lncRNA from 1 species
CACCUCUACCCACCGCCUGAAUGCUGGUGGCAGAUCCUAUACAUGUACACAUCAGUUAGUAAUGUAUUUGUUAAUACUGUGUUACAUACAAAACAAUUACCUUGUACAACGUAACUAAUACAAAUCACCCCCCAUCAAUUAAAAACUGAAUGUACACAUUUAGCAUAACUAAUAAUUUGUGGAUGGCUAAACCAUUUAUCAAAAAGCAGACAUUAACAUCAAAAUGCGAAAGUGGUGAGACAUCUUGAUAUACCAGUUUUGUUUUGUCCGAUCCCGGUAAAAUUACUUUGAAGAACGACGUGACCUUGUUUGCCAUCCUUGAUUCGUCUCCCUGCAAUAACCAAUGACAUUAGUUACUUUAAAAGGACGGUUAUCUGAUUCUUGUCCUCAUCCCUUAAGUUCCCCUUAUACAUCUGGGUUUAAUCCGUUCAAUCUAGCACACACACGCACACACUUGAUUCCUUUAUGUUUUCCAAUUUCAUCUAAUAAUCCGUAUACCCGAUGGAGACAUCCGAACUAAAAAGAGGAGCAUCUAUAAAGACAAGGGACAGCAUCAACACUUUAAAAUGACAUGUUUAUGGGUUUGUAUGGACCAUAUCCCGACGUUAUCAUAUAACCCCACAGUGCAGGCAAACUCCUUAUUUGGAUAUGGAAGUUUUGACAUGAAGUGGUACUUACUACAGCGAUUGGACCCAAAUAUGAGUUCACUUCGUCUUUAAUCCACGUGAACAGAUGACGACACCUCUUGACUGUCCUUACUCCGAUAGGGUGAGCUGUGCAAUUAGGCUUCACCUACGCCUACGGUCGUCGGCAAACGUACUGUGUCGGGCAACCUACGGUCAUAGUGAGAUAGAUGAGUUGCGGCCGGUCUUGUGGAUAGAUAUGGGAAGAAAGAGUUGGGGGCCGGUGAUAUGGAUAGAGAUGGGAAGAAAGAGUUCCGGUCGGUGAUAUGUGUAAGAGAUGGCAAGAAAGAGUUGCGGCCAACUUAAGAGGCAGCUCUAUUUAUAGUCCUAUUCAGGAUGUUGGUUAACUGCAUAUAUAUAUAACUGUAUUUGUGGACCGAACCAACCCGUGGAAGCAUCCCAGUCCAGUUGGCUAUGACUGGUAUUGGUUAUGAAGUUUUAAACCUGUGGUAUAUGGUUCGAUUCAUAUGAUUUGCACAAAAAAUUUUCAUUUGUUUUUUUAAUAUGCAACGAAUCAGAUAUAUAGACAAAUGGGACCGUCAUAUCUCUUUAACUAAAAUCUAUAGCCGAUAAUAUAAGUGAUUUUUUUAUUAUCCAGUUCUAAGAACUUUUGAAAAUUUAUAAAUUAACCUUAUUAUCUGAAAAAUAUUACGAAUUUGUGCCAAUACUCUCUUCAUCAUUGGAACCUGCUUAACCCGGACAUUUUACAUUUUGGUAAAAACUUAUACACAUAUUUUAAAAUUUAGGAAUGUGAUUACUCACAGUCAUUAGCUCAACUAUACUCAAACCAUAUCAGAAAUUAUUCAUUUUUCAACCAUUGUCAUAUUAUACUACUCUGAUGACAUCCUAUUUCACAUUAUUUUUUAAAAUCACAAGUCUUAUAUAUGUAUAUUUUUUUGACACUAAAGUACGCUUGUAUACAACCAACUUACUCAGAUUUAUGACUUUAAUUUACCACGAGAUUUAUGAACCCACGAAAAAAUCCUUUGACGGGUUAUGAAUCCAUUUUUAUUUAACUCAUCUAACUAUGGUUAACGAUUAAUUUUGGGUGCGGCUAUUUCCAUUCCACUAAAUGCUCAGUUCACCCCACGCCUUAUUUUUUACCUUUAAUGUUCCAAUUAUGCCCUUCAA